rnacentral:lncRNA from 1 species
GGUUGAGGUUUGUGUGUGGAGACAUAGACCGCUGUGUAUUGCUUUCGUGUGGUCGUUACUUAAGUUGGUAUAACUAGAGAAGCAAGCAGUCGGCGACAUUCAUCUCUCAAGGGGUUCUCAAACUGUGUUACAGUGUGUUUGACCCUAACUUAAUUUUACAUUGGAACAUCCCUUUAAGUCCAUAACAUCUGUUUUCAUCAUGAACAGUACCGAUACAGGACAGAGACAGUAUGGAGUUAUACACAUGGAUGGUAAGAGUAUUUUUCUGGCUCUUCAUGGUUCAAUGUUUUCAGCACGCAGAGAUUUAGUAUGUUCUUACAGCCUCUCAGAAAUGAUGCUCAGGGAUCUGAAGCAUGAAAAUCACAAAAUGCUCCUUCAUCCAAUUAACCUUCUUCAUAUGGUCUGUCUGUCUGCUCAAUGACAAGCUGCCACCACCGCCUCUGGGCUCCUGUAAGCAGGUGGCUAUUUUUAUGACCUUCACCAAGAAUACUCCCAUCACUGCUCUUAUUUUAAAAGCCUUGAAUAAAUAAUUUCAGACAUCCAUCAUUUUGAUAGAUAAGAGGUACUCUCUGGCCCUGCAACAAAUUAGUUGAGAGAAUAUAACUCCACAAAGUGAGACACAAAAGAAUGGUUGACCGAGGGCCAGUAAAGGAGAUCUUGUUUCGGGGAAGAAGCGACUGAACUCUGCAAGGCUGAGUAAAAAUAUUUUUAUGAAGCCGGCGGGUGGAUGUGUGUGGAAAAGUGUAAAUGCCAGCUUCAGUAGAGUAACCCCAAAGUUUCACUGCAUGCAGAACGGCGGCGAAAAGACCAUCAACGCAGAUCGCCGCUGAUCGUUUCCAUUCAAGUUUCCACCAGCUUCUUUCUGGCCCGCUGCAGUUUAGCAGGCUUCGUAGCCAAACGCCAGCUUUCUUUUUAUUGCAUGCCGCAUAAAUUCAGCUCAGAUGAGCCCGUGCUCGAAAGGAAGUUGGGCACAGACCAGUGCUUAAUUUGUGCCGGAGCAAGCCGGAGCAGGCUGGAGUGCGCUCCUGGACCUCUUUGAUCAGAUCCAGGACCUAUUUCAGCCGCUCCGGCACCUGUUUGAUCUGCUCCGGGACCUUCCCUGUCAAUAAAUAAACUGUGUUUUUAUCUAGGUUUUCUCUGUGUUUUAUUUCUCUCUGAAGUGACGCCUGUUGGCUUAUUCUUAUGCAUUUUACUCGGAAAUUAGGUAAAACAGGGGGAAAAAGUGAUUUAUGCCGUCAUGUGUCACAACACAAUGCGCAUUGGGAUGGUUUUGUUUCUGCAUCGGCACUGCGCGCAAAUGUUAUACUAGGUAGGUGCAGAAAUUAAGGUGAAAAAGACAAUAAAAACGCGUUAAAAACCCGAGAAAAAAAGUAUAUUUUUACGGCGUGCGCUCCAGAGGGGGACCCGGAACCUACUGGAGGACAAAUCAAGCACUGGCACAGACACAAAAUAAGACAUCCAGCUUCUUUUCAUGAUAAAACAGUAUGUGUUUCAGGCGGAUGGUAUUUCAAGACUGUUUGCUGUGAUUUCAUACCAUGCAAACAUGUCUGAGGACGAACAAGUCAAAGGUUUUCAGACUUAAUUUCAUCCUGGUGACACCAUGGAUGAAGAGCUGAUUCUGGUCUUAUUUCCAAUCUCCACAGAAGUGUCUGGUCUACCAGUCUGGACAGAGUGGAUUUCCUCCUCUGAAGGCAUAAUCUACCGCUUAUAUGGAUAUAUGGCUGUCUUUACAGAAACAACUUUCGAGGGUUGUUGUGAGUCCUCGCAAUUCCUGCUGUCCGAAAUUCGCCUCACAAACGCAUCCAGUAGGAUUUGGUGGACCGAAAAAAUUGCUGCCGUUCUGCAGUGGUGCCGUUCCGAUGUAGUGGAUAUUGGGUGUAACUGUUUGGGUGAUUCAUCCCGCAUGUUUCCUUUUUUCCCAAUGAGGAAAAACGGACUAGUUCUUACUGAACCGGACUGCCAUGUCAGAAGUGAUGAUGAGACAUUUAAAUGCAGUCAAACCGUCAUGAGCCUCACUUUUAAAGGGAUAGCUCCGUAUUUUUGGUUGUGCUUAUCAACAGUAAGUGUAGUAACUUGCCAGAGGAGUGGAGAAAAAGCCAGGCCAUCAGCUGCUUCAGAGGGGCCUGGUUGAGCCCAUCUCAGGCUAAUAAGCAUUAUUCUCAGUGAAGGUGAAAGCUCUAUUUGAAAAUUUGUCAGCCCUUCUCCAUCCUAAGGCCUGUUCAUUAAAGACCCAUUCUGAUGAAAAUCAUGUUUUUGUUGUUUUUUACAUGUUCAUAUAGCAUUUUUCUGAUGCUACAGGGCACAUCAUGAGAAAAUAAGUGUGAAAUUGCAUUCCUGAGUAUUUCUGCAUUUAAACUGCUGUGAAUCUCUGGCAGACCUGAACGGCAGGAUCAGAUACAGUGAGAUUUCCUACGUAGCAAAUCCAAGCUUGGCCCCCAGGGGACAAUCGUGGAACAAGCAUGUGUUUUAGCAGAUUGCAAUGCUCGUAAGAAAGAUAAUUAUGAUAUUAACUUUCAUCUCUCCAAAGACAUUAGUGUCCAGGAGCUGAAUAGCUCCUAUGUUACCUGCUACUUUUACUACACCGGCAAUGUUUGGCUGCAAGCUAAAGCGAAGAGGAGUGUGCAGUGCAGUGCUGUCUCCACACACGUCUCAGAGGCAAAUUGCUAAUGAUCUACAGAAGCUCUGCAGAAGAAAAGUCCUUGAAAAUAUCACAGGUAAUGUGGUUUUGGCUAAAAACUGUAUAAUAACUUAAAGACCACUGAGAACACUUAAAGUAGUUAAAAAAAAAAGAUCAGAGUGGGACUUUGAUGCUCUAUUGUCUGACAUGACACAUAUGUGUUCCUCCUUCUACAGGUUUUUGGGUCUGUGGGCUUCAAGGAAACAAAGUGCAACCAAAGUGAAUUAUGAGUGAUUCUGACUGUACCAAUGACAGGCUGUUAAGUUGAUAUUGUACCAUAAUCCAUAUGGUACCACCAGAGACUUGCCCAAGAUAAAGGUUGAAAAUGUACAACUCCAAUCUCUGAGUUCCCUGGAAAUAUUCAAAAAGAGACUCCUCCAGAGUCUUUAUUGAGUGAAAGUGGAGAAGCUGGAGAAUGAACUUAAAGAGAAGGAUCAUUCCUUUUUCUUGAAAAGCCUGGUGGCCUGGAGGUAGAACAACUCUGUUUGAUAUUUUUGUUUGGAAAUUAUCCAUCCGGUAACAACAGAUGCAGAAUCUACCUGAAGCAGAUUAGCAGGUGCUCACUUUCAGACAGAGAUCAGCAGACUUUUGAUCUGCAGCCGUGUUUCCUCCGGUGGUGAUCUUUUGAUGCACUGAGGUACAUCCAUGAAGAUGCCUCCCUGCCUGUCAGAGGAUGAGGAAACUGAGGUCAGACAGAGUUGAGCAGCCUGGAGUAAAAAGAAAGUCGAGCUGAGAUUGAUGAAGACGCAGAUUUCAACAUGAGGCUGUGAUGGACUUUAAUGUGCAGAUGAGGCUUGGGCUUUUUUUUCCAGGGACUGAAGGUGUGUGAAUUACUUAGAUAAAAUGAAUCAGAUAGUGUAGAUGAGAUGUUAUGGAUGUAGAAACAGCUGAGAACAGCAGAGCUUUUGGGAUUCAGAUUUUUGUCCUCAUUGAAAAUCCUUUAACCCUCCUAUACUCCUCAAAUCUUACAAACACAUUUCACCCUUAGGGUCAAUCCGACCCCAGGUGUAUUUGCCUACAGAAAAGGAUUUACAUGCAACUGUUGACCAAGAUUUUUUGUCAGGUGUUUUGUUUAUUUGUUGAGUAUAUAAAAAACCCCUUAAUAACGAAACUUAUCAACGAUUUGACCUGUUCUCUAGUGCCACCAAUAGGCCAAACUUUUAAAGUAGAAUUAAUGUAUCUUGAAAAUCGUUCAUCCAACAUUUUUCCUAUCUAGGGUGCAGAUUCAUAACUCUUAGAGAAUGAACCAUAUUGAUUAUCUGCAUGAACUACCAAUGUCUUUGAGGGAAUACCCCACCCUCCACAGGUAAUACAGUAUCAGUCCUACUUCAACAUGUGUGAGUACAGUAGGUCACUCAUACACACACACACACCUUCAUGCCCAUGGUGCAGGGAGGUUCUCAUGAGAAUAUUGUUUUCCCCCUCUCCCAUGUCAUGGUAGCAACAAAAAUGGAAAAUUAUGGUCCCCCUACCGACUUCAACAACAAGGUAGACGUGCUGCUAUGAGUGUGUCUCACCAGACACACAGUCCGCCAUGUUGAAGACGCUCAUUAUUCGAGCUCUUUGUAUAACCAUCAAUUGGAAAUAUUGCAUUUGAGAUGAUCAUUGGUGAUAUUUGUAGUUGGAUAGACUUGGGUGUGAUCAACUUGCGAGCCUACAGUGGUUUCCUCAUUUUGGCAGGAGCUUACAAGUCAAGUUGUUACAAGUCCCACAUGUCCACACCAUGAGAAUUCUUAAAGUUCUGAUGGGAAUAGUUGUUUUCCUCACCUCCCUGUUAUGGAUCAACUCAAAAGUAUCA